GGUGGUCAGGAUGAAUGAUAUGAUA
rnacentral:piRNA from 1 species